UACGUAGGCAGCGAGCGUUGUUCGGAGUUACUGGGCGUAAAGAGUGCGUAGGCGGUUUUCUAAGUUUGGUGUGAAAUCUCCCGGCUUAACUGGGAGGGUGCGCCGAAGACUGGAAGGCUUGAGUAUGGGAGAGGUAAGCGGAAUUCCUGGUGUAGCGGUGAAAUGCGUAGAUAUCAGGAGGAACACCUGCGGUGUAGACGGCUUACUGGACCAUCACUGACGCUGAUGCACGAAAGCUAGGGGAGCAAACAGG
rnacentral:rRNA from 1 species